rnacentral:rRNA from 1 species
GGGUCUUUUGGGGUAGGAUAGAAUGCUAGUCAGGCGCUCGCCAGCCAAAGGUGAGUGCGGCGCACAGCUCAGUAACACGUGGCUAACCUGCCCUCGGGACGGUGACACCCCCGGGAAACUGGGGCUAAUCCCCGAUAGGUGAAGAACUCUGGAAUGAGUCUCCACCCAAAAGACGCUUACGCCAUGCUCGUAGGCGCCGCCCAAGGAUGGGGCCGCGACCGAUCAGGUUGUUGGUGAGGUAACGGCUCACCAAGCCUUUUACCGGUGCGGGCCGUGGGAGCGGGAGCCCGGAGAUGGGCACUGAGACAAGGGCCCAGGCCCUACGGGGCGCAGCAGUCGCGAAAACUUUGCAAUACACGAAAGUGUGACAGGGCUAUCCCGAGUGCCAUCCGCUGAGGAAGGCUUUUACCCAGUCUAGCAAGCUGGGAGAAUAAGGAGAGGGCAAGACUGGUGUCAGCCGCCGCGGUAAUACCAGCUCUCCGAGUGGUGUGGAUGUUUAUUGGGCCUAAAGCAUCCGUAGCUGGCUGGGCAAGUCCCCUGUUAAAUCCACCGAUUUAAUCGUUGGUGUGCGGGGGAUACUGCUCAGCUAGGGGACGGGAGAGGCAGACGGUAUUUCCGGGGUAGGGGUGAAAUCCUAUAAUCCCGGGAAGACCACCAGUGGCGAAGGCUGUCUGCUAGAACGCGCCCGACGGUGAGGGAUGAAAGCUGGGGGAGCGAACCGGAUUAGAUACCCGGGUAGUCCCAGCUGUAAACGAUGCAGGCUAGGUGUUUGGGCGGCUACGUGCCGCUCUAGUGCCGCAGGGAAGCCGUUAAGCCUGCCGCCUGGGGAGUACGGCCGCAAGGCUGAAACUUAAAGGAAUUGGCGGGGGAGCACCACAAGGGGUGAAGCUUGCGGUUUAAUUGGAGUCAACGCCGGA